UACAGAGGGUGCAAGCGUUGUUCGGAAUUAUUGGGCGUAAAGCGCGUGUAGGCGGCUUUGCAAGUCGGGUGUGAAAGCCCUCAGCUUAACUGAGGAAGUGCGCCCGAAACUGCAGAGCUUGAGUGCCGGAGAGGGUGGCGGAAUUCCCCAAGUAGAGGUGAAAUUCGUAGAUAUGGGGAGGAACACCGGUGGCGAAGGCGGCCACCUGGACGGUGACUGACGCUGAGACGCGAAAGCGUGGGGAGCAAACAGG
rnacentral:rRNA from 1 species